GAAGCAGUAUUUGAAGUUCGCACUAACUUUUUAACUCCACGUUUUCAGGACUAAGACGGUGGUUCACUGCUUACGGGGAACGUCGUCAUGGUAACGGCACACUUACCUUCAAGCUGAAGGAAUAAGACUCAAACCGUCUCCACACCACGACAAAGCGAGAGCCUGAUUGUGAGAUGACUGGAUUCAUUCUCAUCACAGAAAUAGAUUUAUUUUUUAUGAGGCUACUUCAUACGUCUUUUUUGCAAAUAACAUGAAGGGACUACUUUUGUAAUUUCCUUUUACAAUCCUGUGAUAUGAUGAUAGUCAAACUGAAUCUUAAAGAAGAAACUUUUGAAUGAGGAACCGUGCACCUCUUCAUCCAUCCAUGUGUGUGAUUGGUCACAUAAAGACAUUGUAAACACACCUCUGACAGCAGAUUGACCUGAGAAAUAGUGACAUUAUCAGACUGUUAAAGCUACAGAACCAGUGUUUUAAGUGAUUAAGGAAAGCUGAAACUUGCUCUUGUUUUGAGUCGUUUCGAUCAAAUUUGAAGGUCUGGGAAAGAAACUGAGCAUCUCUCAGAACAAGUCAUCAGACUGCAUGUCCAUAAACAGCAGCUGUAGUUGUUGUAACAGCUGAGUGCACGAAACUACAGCUCGCCUGCAGAAGUUCAAUGUCUUUCUGUGGAGCUGUUCUUCAGAUGGUUCAGUCAGACCUCAUGGGAAACCUGGACCAGAAGGCUUUUCACCCCUGGAGUGAUUUUAUUUAUAAUGAUGUGUAAUAAUGAUGUGGAGAUUUUUGUCACUUGCAGUCCUUAUUUCAUGUAGAAACAAACAACAAAGAACUAACAGAGGAAGACUUUAAAUCUUUUUAAUAUGAGAAUCCAAAAUUGGAAAAUAAAAUAUGAUUUAUUUUGUCAUUGUUUUGUGAAUCCAACUAAAUAAAUCAAACAACAGCCUGCUUUUGUAUUUCAGAUUUCUUCAGCAUCAAGGUAACACCCAGCAAAGGAAACCAUCCCAGUGACCCCCGGCUAUUCACAGUCCAAACUAUCCAGACAUGCACAUCCAUGAUGUGAAUGUCUUGUUCCAGCACAUCCCAAAGGUGCUCUGUUGGAUUGAGAUUUGGUGACUGUGGAGGCCGUUGGAGUGCAGUGACCUCAUUGUGAUGUUUAUUAAAGCAGUUUGAGAUGAUUUGAGCUUUGGGACAUGGAGUGUUGUCAGAAGAUGGUCCACUGUGGUCAUAAAGGGAUGGAGAUGGUCAGCAGCAGCACUCAGGGAGGCUGAGGUGUUUAAAUGAUGGGCCCAAAGUGUGCCAACAAAAGAUCCCCUACACCAUGACAUCGCCGUGAGCCUGAACCGUUGAUACAAGAGGCAGGAUGGAUCCAUGCUUUCAUGCUGUUGACACCAAAUUCUGAUCCUAACAUCUGAACAUUGCAGCAGAAAUCGAGACUCAUCAGAUCAGGCAGCGUUUCUCCAAUCUUCUAUUGUCUGACUUGGUGUGAAUAGUUUCUUCAGUUUCUUGUUCUCAGCUGACCGUAGUGGCACCUGGAGGUCUUCUGCUGCUGCAGCUCAUCUGCUUCCAGGUUGGACGUGUUGUCUGCUCAGAGAUGGUUUUCUGUAUAACUUUGGUUGGAACGAGUGUUUAUCUGAGUUCUGUUUCCUGACCUCUGGCAUCAACAAAGCGUUUCCAUCCAGAGAACUGCUGUCACUGGAUGUCUUCUCUUUUUCUGACCAUUCCUUGUCGACCCUGGAGAUGGUUGUGUUUGAAAAGCCUGGGAAACCAGCAGUCUCUGCAGUGGUCAGACCAGCCCUUCUGGUACCAACAACAGCUCAAAUCAAAUGUUCUUCCUCAUUCUGGUGCUUGGUUUGAACUUCAGCAGGUCCUCUUCACCAUGUCUACAUGCUUAAAUGCACUGAGUUGCUUCCAUGUGGUUGAUUGAUUAGAUGUUUGCUUUAAGGAGCUGUUAAACAUGUGUACCUAAUAAAAUGGCACUUUGUGGAAAGUUGCACCAA